rnacentral:rRNA from 2 species
UGUCGUCAGCUCGUGUUGUGAAAUGUUGGGUUAAGUCCCGCAACGAGCGCAACCCUUAUCCUUUGUUGCCAGCGGUCCGGCCGGGAACUCAAAGGAGACUGCCAGUGAUAAACUGGAGGAAGGUGGGGAUGACGUCAAGUCAUCAUGGCCCUUACGACCAGGGCUACACACGUGCUACAAUGGCGCAUACAAAGAGAAGCGACCUCGCGAGAGCAAGCGGACCUCAUAAAGUGCGUCGUAGUCCGGAUUGGAGUCUGCAACUCGACUCCAUGAAGUCGGAAUCGCUAGUAAUCGUGGAUCAGAAUGCCACGGUGAAUACGUUCCCGGGCCUUGUACACACCGCCCGUCACACCAUGGGAGUGAGUUGC